rnacentral:rRNA from 1 species
UACAGAGGGGGCAAGCGUUGUUCGGAAUUACUGGGCGUAAAGGGCCAGUAGGCGGCCAACUAAGUCGGAUGUGAAAUCCCCAGGCUCAACUUGGGAACUGCAUCCGAUACUGGAUGGCUUGAAUUCGGGAGAGGGAUGCAGAAUUCCAGGUGUAGCGGUGAAAUGCGUAGAUAUCUGGAGGAACACCGGUGGCGAAGGCGGCGUUCUGGACUGCAACUGACACUGAGGAACGAAAGCCAGGGGAGCAAACGGG